UCAGACAUGCAAGUCGAACGCGAAAGGCCCCUUCGGGGGCCGAGUAGAGUGGCGUCCGGGUGAGUAACACGUAGGUAAUCUACCUCUGGGUGGGGAAUAACGACCGGAAACGGUCGCUAAUACCGCAUAAUGCAGCGGCACCACAUGGUGACAGUUGUUAAAGCGGGGGAUCGCAAGACCUCGCGCCUAGAGAGGAGCCUGCGGCGGAUUAGCUAGUUGGCAGGGUAACGGCCUACCAAGGCAACGAUCCGUAGCCGGCCUGAGAGGGCGGUCGGCCACACUGGCACUGACAUACGGGCCAGACUCCUACGGGAGGCAGCAGUCGGGAAUUUUGGGCAAUGGGCGAAAGCCUGACCCAGCAACGCCGCGUGAAGGAUGAAGCUUCUCGGAGUGUAAACUUCAUAAGAAUGGGACGAAUAAGUGGGGGAUAAUACCCCCCAUGAUGACGGUACCAUUUGUAAGCUCCGGCUAACUCCGUGCCAGCAGCCGCGGUAAUACGGGGGGAGCAAGCGUUGUUCGGAUUUACUGGGCGUAAAGGGCGCGUAGGCGGCGUAACAAGUCACUUGUGAAAUCUCCGGGCUUAACCCGGAGCGGCCAAGUGAUACUGUUGUGCUAGAGUGCGGAAGGGGCUACUGGAAUUCUCGGUGUAGCGGUGAAAUGCGUAGAUAUCGAGAGGAACACCUGCGGCGAAGGCGGGUAGCUGGGCCGACACUGACGCUGAGGCGCGAAAGCCAGGGGAGCGAACGGGAUUAGAUACCCCGGUAGUCCUGGCCUUAAACGAUGGAUACUUGGUGUCCGGGGUUACAUAGUCCCCGGGUGCCGGCGCUAACGCAUUAAGUAUCCCGCCUGGGGAGUACGGUCGCAAGACUGAAACUCAAAGGAAUUGACGGGGACCCGCACAAGCGGUGGAGCAUGUGGUUUAAUUCGACGCAACGC
rnacentral:rRNA from 1 species